AUUGGCUGAAUAUUGCUGUAGGAUGAGUUGGUAUUUACCUUGUACAAGUUUUUGAUUGUAUAUUUAAUGGGAUAAAUCCCAAGCAUAAUGACAAGAAUUUUAAUCCUCAAUAUAGUAUCAGAGCCAUAACCAUUUCUUCCAUUCCCCUCCCACCCCUUGCCUUCUCGAUGUCUGAUCCCAUCGUCCCUCCAAACCCCUAUGCCAUACCCAUCCCACUGUAUGCGCCACAUCCGUCGUCCGCACCCAUCAAACCCCCUACCCUCUCUUCUUCCAACUCUGGUGCCACCAAUCCCCCUCCCCUCCUCCGGUUCCGAUGCCACCAAGCCCCCCCGCCUUCCCUCCUCCCCCCUCGCGCCUCCGGCACCUUCUGCGGCCUCACCGCACGCGACCGCCCCCGUACCCUCCGUGGCCCCACCCUACCAUCGUCGCCUCCAGCUCCCGACUCCCCCAUGACUGCCCUCCUACUGUGGUGCCCUCCGGCUUUCGGCUCCCGCACAUCCACCCCCUGCACCCUUUGUGGCCCC
rnacentral:lncRNA from 1 species